rnacentral:rRNA from 1 species
AAAGGCUGAGUAACGCGUAGGAAUCUACCCCAAACUGAGGGAUAACUGCUCGAAAGAGUAGCUAAUACCGCAUGUGCUCUACGGAGUAAAGCUUCGGCGGUUUGGGAAGAGCCUGCGUAAGAUUAGCUUGUUGGUGAGGUAAUGGCUCACCAAGGCGACGAUCUUUAGCUGGUCUGAGAGGAUGACCAGCCAGACUGGGACUGAGACACGGCCCAGACUCCUACGGGAGGCAGCAGUAGGGAAUUUUCCACAAUGGACGAAAGUCUGAUGGAGCAACGCCGCGUGCAGGAUGAAGGUUUUCGGAUUGUAAACUGCUUUUCUCUGUGACGAAUAUGACGGUAGCAGAGGAAUAAGGACCGGCUAACUCCGUGCCAGCCGCCGCGG